AUGCUCGCUUUUGCAGCACAUAUACUAAAAAUUGGAAUGAUACAAAGAAGAUUAGCAUGGCCCCUGUGCAAGGAUGACACACAAAUUCAUGAAGCAUUCCAUAUUUUU
rnacentral:snRNA from 1 species